CGCGUCGUGGUAUUUCGCGUAUUGUAAUUUCAACACGAGCGGGGUCAAAUCCUUUGCAGACGACUUAGCUGUGCGAAACGGUCCUGUAAGCAGUAGAGUAGCCUUGUUGUUACGAUCUGCUGAGGGUAAGCCGUCCUUCGCCUCGAUUU
rnacentral:rRNA from 23 species